UUUUUUUUUUUUUUUGUCUUUUGUUGUCUUUUGUUGUUGUUGUUGCUGCUAUCUCUUGGGCCGCUCCUGCGGCAUAUGGAGGUUCCCAGGCUAGGGGUUGAAUCGGAGCUGUAGCCACCGGCCUACGCCAGAGCCACAGCAACUCGGGAUCCGAGCCGCGUCUGCAACCUACACCACAGCUCACGGCAACGCCGGAUCGUUAACCCACUGAGCAAGGGCAGGGACCGAACCCGCGACCUCAUGGUUCCUAGUCGGAUUCGUUAACCACUGCGCCACGACAGGAACUCCAGUUUUCUUUCUUUUAAGUGAGAAAAUAAUACUUUAUGACUUGCAUUUUGGGACAAUUAAUCUGGAAAUGCUAUGUGAGUAGACUGUAGUUGGGUAAGCCUGGUGUUAGGAAUGCAAUUGCAGUCAUCCAGCCAUAGAAGAGGAAGAGUCUAAUUAGGGUGAUAAUGGGGGAUGGAAAGAGAGGGCUAAAAUAUUAAGAUGGUCCAAUGGACAGACUUUGAAGAGAAGGGGUGAGAGUGUUCUAGCUUGAGAAAUGAGUGAUUUCAUUCACAGAGAGAGGAAAAGCACGAACAGUAUUAACUUAAGUUGUGUACAGGUUGAGCUAGAAAUUAUUAAAGGUCAUCCAGGUAGAGAAGUUGUCUACUUACUUGGGUUUAGGGAUCUAGAACUCAGGGAAAAGAUCCAGAGUAAAAAUACAUUUGAGCAUCAUUAACAGAUUGGGACUAAUUGGGAUUAUGAAUUCAGCAACACUUUUCUAACACUCUCUUGGCUACUGCUUUACUUAGCCUAAACUACCAGAUAAAUAUUCUCAGAUCAUUUAACAUCAAAAACACUUUUAAGAUGCAACUUGAUUUAGAGCGAAAAACAUAUUAUUUAAUUGAAGAGUUGGUAUAGUAACAAAAUAACUCCUUCUAAAUAGCACGCCAUGGAUUUUACUAUACUCUGAGUCUAAUUAAAAGAGAAAAAGCACUAAGUAUGGCAAAUGACUGUUAAAUGCAAGGCUAGAAAAUAUAGCACAAAAAAGUCUAUUCCAAAGGCAUACUCUGCUCAGUUAUAUAAAUAAUACUAUUUUUCUUAUCCAUUGGUUAUAGUACCUUUUAUCCUUCAGACUAUAAUAACUUUACACUUUCUGUCAGUAUAAAGCAAAAUGGACUGGGUCUUUGAUCUUCCUCGAAUAGCUGGAGAAACUAAAACACAAAGUAUAUAAAUAUUCAUCUUUCUGACUUACUUUCCUUAGUAUGAGCAUCUCUAGUUGCAUCCAUGUUGCUGCAAACGGCAUCUUUUUAAUCCAGUCAUCUGUUGAUGGCCAUUUAGGUUGUUUCCAUGUCUUGACUGCUAUGAACAGUGCUAAUAUGAACAUAGGGGUAUAUCUCUUUGAAUUAGAGUUUUGUCAGGAUAUAUGCCCAGCAAUGGGAUUGCUGGAUCAUACAUAAUCCUAUUUUCCGUUUUCUGAGGAACCUCCAUACUGUUUUCCACAAUGGUUGUACCAAUUUACAUUCCCACCAACAGUUUGGGCGGGUUUCCUUUUCUGUCAGUAAGAGAAAGACAAAUACCGUAUGAUAUCACUUAUACCUGGAAUCUAAAAUAUGGCACAAAUGAACCUAUCUACAAAACAGACACGGACACACAGAUAAAGAAAACAGACUUGUGGUUGCCAAGGCAGAGUGGGGAAGGGAGUGGGAUGGACUAGGAGUUUGGGGGUUAGCAAAUGCAAACUAUUAUUAGUUAGCAAGGUCCUAUUGUAUAGCACAGGGAACUGUAUCCAAUCUCCUGGGAUAGACUAUGAUGGGCAAGAAUAUAAAAAGGAGUAUAUAUGUGUAUACAUAUAUAUAUAACUGGGCUGUAUAGCAGAAAUUGGCACAAUGUUGUAAAUCAAUUCUACUUUAAUAAAAAAAUAAAUUUAAAAGAAUAAAGAGUAGAAAUAAUGGGCCUGUGGUCUCCAGACAGGUCAAUAAAGUGAAGCUGAAAAUAGAUUACAGCUAUCCAAAAUUCCUGGCUUCACUCUCUCCUCUACUCUAUCAUCAUCAUCAUCAAUCACCUUUAGCAUGUUACCACUGGCUACCUGGCACUGUGCCAGGCUACCCUUUUAUAGAAUAAGAUAGUAACACAGAGGUUACUGGAGGAAUGGGGAUGGAGGUAUCGGUAGAGAAUUUUCUCUAAGGCCUUUCCACCUUGUUCUUUUAUGUACCAUGCUUACCAAAUUAUGCAGAUUAUUAAACAGGAUAUGAAAUAAAAAAGAAUUUUUAUAAAGUACUUGCAAUCUCAAGUAUAAAGGCAACGCAGGGAGUUCCCUCUGUGGCACAGUGGGUUAAAAAUCUGACCGCAGCGGCUCAGGUUACCGUGGAGUUGUGGGUUUGACCCCUGGCCUGGCACAGUGGGUUAAGGAUCCAUGUGC
rnacentral:lncRNA from 1 species